UACGUAGGGUGCAAGCGUUGUCCGGAUUUAUUGGGCGUAAAGAGCGUGUAGGCGGCCAUGUAGGUCCGUUGUGAAAACUCGAGGCUCAACCUCGAGACGCCGAUGGAAACCAUGUGGCUAGAGUCCGGAAGAGGAGAGUGGAAUUCCUGGUGUAGCGGUGAAAUGCGCAGAUAUCAGGAAGAACACCCGUGGCUAAGGCGGCUCUCUAGUACGGUACUGACGCUGAGACGCGAAAGCGUGGGGAGCGAACAGG
rnacentral:rRNA from 1 species